GAUGAACGCUGGCGGCGUGCCUAAUACAUGCAAGUCGAGCGAACGGACGAGAAGCUUGCUUUUCUGAUGUUAGCGGCGGACGGGUGAGUAACACGUGGAUAACCUACCUAUAAGACUGGGAUAACUUCGGGAAACCGGAGCUAAUACCGGAUAAUAUUUUGAACCGCAUGGUUCAAAAGUGAAAGACGGUCUUGCUGUCACUUAUAGAUGGAUCCGCGCUGCAUUAGCUAGUUGGUAAGGUAACGGCUUACCAAGGCAACGAUGCAUAGCCGACCUGAGAGGGUGAUCGGCCACACUGGAACUGAGACACGGUCCAGACUCCUACGGGAGGCAGCAGUAUGGAAUCUUCCGCAAUGGGCGAAAGCCUGACGGAGCAACGCCGCGUGAGUGAUGAAGGUCUUCGGAUCGUAAAACUCUGUUAUUAGGGAAGAACAUAUGUGUAAGUAACUGUGCACAUCUUGACGGUACCUAAUCAGAAAGCCACGGCUAACUACGUG
rnacentral:rRNA from 1 species